rnacentral:rRNA from 1 species
GACGAACGCUGGCGGCGGGCUUAACACAUGCAAGUCGAACGGAAAGGCCCUGCUUGUGUGGGGUGCUCGAGUGGCGAACGGGUGAGUAACACGUGAGUAACCUGCCCUUGACUUUGGGAUAACUUCAGGAAACUGGGGCUAAUACCGGAUAGGAGCGCCUGCUGCAUGGUGGGGGUUGGAAAGUUUAGGCGGUUGGGGAUGGACUCGCGGCUUAUCAGCUUGUGGGUGGGGUAGUGGCUUACCAAGGCUUUGGCGGGUAGCCGGCAUGAGAGGGUGACCGGCCACAUUGGGACUGAGAGACGGACCAGACUCCUACGGGAGGCAGCAGUGGGGAAUAUUGCACAAUGGGCGGAAGCCUGAUGCAGCAACGCCGCGUGCGGGAUGACGGCCUUCGGGUUGUAAACCGCUUUCGCCUGUGACGAAGCGUGAGUGACGGUAAUGGGUAAAGAAGCACCGGCUAACUACGUG